rnacentral:rRNA from 1 species
AAUGAACGUUGGCGGCGUGGAUUAGGCAUGCAAGUCGAGCGAGAACCGUAGCAAUACGGGGACAGCGGCGAAAGGGACAGUAAUGUGUAGGUACCUACCCCUGGGUCUGGGAUAGCUGCGGGAAACUGCAGGUAAUACCGGAUAAUGUCCAAGGACCAAAGGUGUGAUUCCACCUGGGGAGGGGCCUGCAUCCUAUUAGCUAGUUGGCGGUGUAACGGCCCACCAAGGCAACGAUGGGUAGCGGGUGUGAGAGCACGACCCGCGUCAUUGGGACUGAGACACUGCCCAGACACCUACGGGUGGCUGCAGUCGAGGAUCUUCGGCAAUGGGCGAAAGCCUGACCGAGCGACGCCGCGUGCGGGAUGAAGGCCUUCGGGUUGUAAACCGCUGUCGUAGAGGAGGAAGUGCAGGGGGGUUCUCCCCUUUGCUUGACCUAUUCUAGGAGGAAGUACGGGCUAAGUUCGUGCCAGCCGCCGCAGUAA